AAGGAUCAUUAAUGAAUUCACUAUGGAGUUGUUGCUGGCCUCUAGGGGCAUGUGCACGCUUCACUAGUCUUUCAACCACUUGUGAACUUUUGAUAGAUCUGUGAAGUCGUCUCUCAAGUCGUUAGACUUGGUUUGCUGGGAUGUAAACGUCUCGGUGUGACUACGCAGUCUAUUUACUUAUAACACCCCAAAUGUAUGUCUACGAAUGUCAUUUAAAGGGCCUUGUGCCUAUAAACCAUAAUACAACUUUCAACAACGGAUCUCUUGGCUCUCGCAUCGAUGAAGAACGCAGCGAAAUGCGAUAAGUAAUGUGAAUUGCAGAAUUCAGUGAAUCAUCGAAUCUUUGAGCGCACCUUGCGCCCCUUGGUAUUCCGAGGGGCAUGCCUGUUUGAGUGUCAUUAAAUUCUCAAGCUCACUCUGGUUUUUCCAAUUGUGAUGUUUGGAUUGUUGGGGGCUGCUGGCCUUGACAGGUCGGCUCCUCUUAAAUGCAUUAGCAGGACUUCUCAUUGCCUCUGCGCAUGAUGUGAUAAUUAUCACUCAUCAAUAGCACGCAUGAAUAGAGUCUGGCUCUCUAACCGUCCGCAAGGACAAUUUGACAAUUUGACCUCAAAUCAGGUAGGACUACCCGCUGAACUUAAA
rnacentral:rRNA from 1 species